GUGGGGAAUCUUGCGCAAUGGGCGAAAGCCUGACGCAGCCAUGCCGCGUGAAUGAUGAAGGUCUUAGGAUUGUAAAAUUCUUUCACCGGGGACGAUAAUGACGGUACCCGGAGAAGAAGCUCCGGCUAACUACGUGCCAGCAGCCGCGGUAAUACGUAGGGAGCAAGCGUUGUCCGGAUUUAUUGGGCGUAAAGAGCUCGUAGGCGGUUGCGUAAGUCGAGUGUGGAAAAUCUAGGCUUAACACAGUGGAGCACUCGAUACUGCGAUGACUUGAGUCUGGGAGAGGAGUGUGGAAUUCCUGGUGUAGCGGUGAAAUGCGCAGAUAUCAGGAGGAACACCAACGGCGAAGGCAGCACUCUGGGCCAGUACUGACGCUGAGGAGCGAAAGCGUGGGGAGCAAACAGGAUUAGAUACCCUGGUAGUCC
rnacentral:rRNA from 1 species